UGUUCCCAUGCCGAACACAGAAGUUAAGCUCCUUAGCGCCGAUGGUAGUUGGACUGACGUUCCGCUAGAGUAGGACGUUGCCAGGC
rnacentral:rRNA from 1 species